rnacentral:lncRNA from 10 species
ACUUACUAAGUGUCAGGCAUCCUCACACAACCUUCUGAUGUUUUCCCUAUUUUAUAAAUGAGGAAACCGAGACACAGAGCUGUAAUUUACCCAAUGUUAUGUAAACUAAUAGGAAGUUGAGUCAGGAUUUGAAUCCAAGCCUCCAGGACACUCAUACUUUGGGAACACAGGGGAAGCUAUGGAACUAAUUUAAAAAGAUCAAUAGAAUUGCAGGGACACUGUUGUCAUGGAGGGGAAAGUUGGAGGAGGAAAAGGACUACGAAAGUCACCUGAUUUGCCUACAAGGACGUCAAAUGGAAGACCCUAGUGAAGGUGGUUUUCUUGGAGGAGUGACAGCCGAAGCCCAAUGACAGGGUCUCACUCUGUCAUCCAGGCUGGAGCGGUGCCAUCACAGCUCACUGCAGCCUGGACCUCCCAGACUCAAGUGAUCCUCCCACCACAGCCUCCCAAGUAGCCAGGACUACAGAGCAAGAGCUCCUGUUAUUG